rnacentral:lncRNA from 1 species
CAACAAUAGCUCAUGGGUACCACAGAUAACUUUGCCAAAGUUCUCUGCCAAAGUUGAGCACGUGAAGCUUGCAGCUCCUACUACAUCGCUCUGACCAAGAAGGGUAAAAGAAUAGCAAAGAAACAGCACUAACAAAGUUUAGACCCAUAAAUUUUGAAGGUCUAGCUACCAUAUUAUUACCCACAAGGGUAAAGGAACAGUACCACUGCUGGAUAAUUGGAAAGUCCUUGUGUGUCAACCUCUGUGCUUCUUGGCAAGGUAGACUAGCAAACAUGCCCAACCUUUACUCACAUUCGAGAAAACACUCCCAAUAAGAUUGCUUGCUCCAAAAUCGAAGAGGCACCGUCCUCCGAAUCUCGAGAGCCAGACUCUCAACAUGACUACUUUCUUAAAAAUCGAAGAGAGGGUAAAGGAACAGUACCAUUGCUGGAUAAUUGGAAAGUCCCUGUGUGUCAACCUCUGUGCUUCAUGGCAAGGUAGACUAGCAAACACAUGCCCAACCUUUACUCACAUUCGAGAAAACACUCCCAACAAGAUUGCUUGCUCCAAAAUCGAAGAGGCACCGCCCUCCGAAUCUCGAGAGCCAGACUCCCAACAUGAUUACUUUCUCAAAAAUCGAAGAGACACUGCUCCCCGAAUCUUCGAGAGCCAGACCCCCAGCAUGAUUGCUUUCUCAAAAAUCGAUGAGGCAUCGUUCUCCGAAUCAAUCGAAGAGGCGCUCGCUUUCUCAAAAGCUGGGCUGCUCAGAGACCACGAGGGCCGAUCUCAGAAAUCGAAGAGGCACCUACUUUUCUAGCCUUGUCAGCACCUGUCACACGCACACUCAGCUUUGCAGAAAUUAUGGGCAUUCUGUCGAAGGCUUCUGGUGAAGUAGAAAGCACAUGAAUCUUACUGUUCAAUCACCCACUUCCCACACGCAACAAUAGCUCAUGGGUACCACAGAUAACUUUGCCAAAGUUCUCUGCCAAAGUUGAGCACGUGAAGCUUGCAGCUCCCACUACAUCGCUCUGACCAAGAAAGGUAAAAGAAUAGCAAAGAAACAGCACUAACAAAGUUUAGACACAUAAAUUUUGAAGUUCUAGCUACCAUAUUAUUACCCACAAGGGUAAAGGAACAAUACCACUGCUGGAUAAUUGGAAAGUCCCUGUUUGUCAACCUCUGUGCUUCGUGGCAAGGUAGACUAGCAAACAUGCCCAACCUUUACUCACAUUCGAGAAAACACUCCCAACAAGAUUGCUUGCUCCAAAAUCGAAGAGACACCGUCCUCCGAACCUCGAGAGCCAGACUCCCAACAUGACUACUUUCUCAAAAUCGAAGAGAGGGUAAAGGAACAGUACCAUUGCUGGAUAAUUGGAAAGUCCCUGUGUGUCAACCUUUGUGCUUCGUGGCAAGGUAGACUAACAAACAUGCCCAACCUUUACUCACAUUCGAGACAACACUCCCAACAAGAUUGCUUGCUCCAAAAUCGAAGAGGCACCGCCCUCCGAAUCUCGAGAGCCAGACUCCCA